CGGGUGAGUAACACGUAUCCAACCUGCCGUCUACUCUUGGACAGCCUUCUGAAAGGAAGAUUAAUACAAGAUGGCAUCAUGAGUCCACAUGUUCACAUGAUUAAAGGUAUUCCGGUAGACGAUGGGGAUGCGCUCCAUUAGCCAGUUGGCGGGGUAACGGCCCACCAAGGCGACGAUGGAUAGGGGUUCUGAGAGGAAGGUCCCCCACAUUGGAACUGAGACACGGUCCAA
rnacentral:rRNA from 1 species